rnacentral:lncRNA from 1 species
CUCACUGCGGCCUCAGACUCAAGCUCAAGCGAUCCUGUUACCUUGCCUUUCAAAUUGCUGGGAUUAUAAGCAUGAGCCACUGCAUCUGGCCUGUGACACAAUUCUGUUUUUUAUCUUUUUUUUUGUGGGGGGGGGAUGGAGUCUCGCUCUGUCACCCAGGCUGGAGUGCGGUGGCGUGAUCUUGGCUCAAUGCAAGCUCCGCCUCCUGGGUUCAUGCCAUUCUCCUGCCUCAGCCUCCCGAGUAGCUGGGACUACAGGCGCCCGCCACCAUGCCUGGCUAAUUUUUUGUAUUUUUAGUAGAGACGGGGUUUCACUGUGUUAGCCAGGAUGGUCUCGAUCUCCUGACCUCGUGAUCUGCCCGCCUUGGCCUCCCAAAGUGCUAGGAUUACAGGCGUGAGCCACCGCGCCCAGCCUAUGUGAUGCAAUUCUGAUGUCAACUCCCUGAUGUUACCUCAAAUGCCACAGGUUAAGGCCACCAGCCCCCACUAGGCUGCCCUCGCUUUAGACACACCUGCAGGUUUGGGUGUCUUCAGACCACAUAUACUUCUCACCAACUGGCUGCAAAUUUGGAGGUUCCCACCAUGCCCUCAAGUUCGAUAACUCACUAAAACAAUUCACAGAAUGCAGAAAAGCAUGAUACUUUCUUUCUCUUUUAUUUUAUUUUUUUUUUUUUGAGACGGAGUCUUGCUCUGUCGCCAAGGCUGGAGUACAGUGGCCACCAUGCUUGGCUAAUUUUUGUAUUUGUAUUAGAGACGGGGUUUCGCCAUGUUGGCCAGGCUGGUCUUGAACUCCUGACCUCAGGUGAUCCACCCGCCUUGGCAUCCCAAAAUGCUGGGAUUAUAGGCAUAGCCACCAUGCCCGGUCGACUUCUAGAGUUUCAAUAACAGAGAUGUGAUUCAAGAAGGGAGACAUGUUUUGUAGAUGGCAGGAGCUUCAUGAAAAGAAGCCAAUGAAGGGCAGGACGUGUAGCUGUCUACCUACAGGAAACCAGCCAGGAGCCUCCCCAAAGGGACUUCAGCACAGAUGGCCGGGAAAAUCUGCAUUAACCUGAGCUCUGGACCUAAGAGAGGACAAGGCCUUGACUGUUUCUACAGACUCACAAGAUGCAAUCUCUGCGGUCCAUGCCCGUGGUGUGAUCUGGGAAACGGGGGGCCUUCUAAAUGCCAACAACAAGGAAAUCAAAUGUGCAACAAACAGAAAUACCGGCAUUGACGUGGGCCAUGGAAAGGCCUAAACAGAUGACUGCAGUUCACUGCCAAGGUCAUCAAAGGGGUGACUCUGAAAUAAGAAAUUUCAGAUGCCACGGCCCAAAUAGCUGCACGAGGUGGGGAAGUCCUCCACAUGCCUCUGCUUCCUUCAGUACCUGUUUAUGAAAUAAGCCGAGGUACUUCCCUGGGGAAUUUCCUUUCUCUUUCUUUCUUUCGAGACGGAGUCUUGCUCUGUCGCCCAGGCUAGAGUGCAGUGGCGCAAUCUCGGCUCAAUGUAACCUCUCCCUCCUGGGUUUUAGCAAUUCUCCUGCAUCAGACUUCUGAGUAGCUGAGAUUACAGGUGCAUGCCACCAUGCCCAGCUAAUAUUUGCAUUUUUAGUAGAGACAGGGUUUCACCAUCUAGGCCAGGCUGGUCUUGAACUCCUGACCUCGUGAUCCACCCGUCUUGGCCUCCCAAAGUGCUGGGAUUACAGGUGUGAGCCAUCACGCCCGGACUUUUGUUUUAUUUUUUGAGACGACGUUUCACUCUUGUUGCCCACGCUGGAGUGCAAUGGCACGAUCUCAGCUCACUGCCACCUCCUCCUCCCAGGUUCAAGCGAUUAUCCUGCCUCAGCCUCUCGAGUAGCUGGGAUUACAGGCACCCAACACCAAACCCAGCUAACUUAUUGUAUUUUUAGUAGAGAUGGGAUGUCACCAUGUUGGCCAGGAUGGUCUUGAACCCCUGACCUCUAAUGAUCCACCUGAAUUGGUUUCCCAAAAUGUUGGGAUUACAGGCACAAGCCACUGCGCCCAGCCCCUCCCAUACCUCUUUUGGUCAAGGCAGCACAAUUCAGAAGAAUCUUGCCAGGGAAGACUGGUAAAUGGACGUCAAUGUGAUGCCUAUGGCUCCUGGUGGAUUUAGAUACCUCCUGGUGCUUAUUGAUAUCUUUACCAGUUGCACGGGGGCUUUUCCAUGCCAG